AUGAAAAUGGCAGACAAUACCCAAACUUACUUGUGUGUGGGUUUUUAUGUUGCUCUCUCUUUUUGGGUAGGUAAUAAAUCUGUAUCAGAUGACUCCGGAGAUGUGGGAGGAAAGAAUUACUGCCUGGUAUGCAGGGCACCGAGGCCGAGCCAGUGGUUGCACCAGUCUGCACUCCCACCAACAAUGGAGAAAGAGCAAGAUGACACAUGAACACAGGUAGAUUAAAAAUAACCAGGAUUUUAUGUACAUACUAUGGAAAAAUACGAGGCAUAAGGGCUAUGAGGCAAACAGACGAGGAAGAGAGGAGAGUGGUAGGUUUAGGGCAAGGUCUAAGCUAGAAAAACUGGACAGAGGUUUGGAACACAAGUUCACUGUCGGGCCAGGGAGAGGUGGCAGAGGAUUCUAUAAUGCUCCUCUACUUCCCCCAAGGGUGUCAGGUACUUGAAACUGGAGGAGACUGAAAGAUGGGAUAUAUCUAUGGAGAAGUGUCCAUAGCUUCCAAAUCAGAUGGUGCCUGGGCUGCCACAGAGGGUAGACUGACCGGUGCUGAUGGAACUACAGGGUUCCUCAGAGAGGAGGAGCUGGCAUACUGAUGCCCACCUGAGGUCCCCAAAGUGGGGUGAUUUGUAGCUGCUGGGUCUGAUGGUUGGUAUGAAGUUGUCCAUGGA
rnacentral:lncRNA from 1 species